UCUUCGGCGGCUGCUCCAAUCGAACCGCCGCGGACAGCACCCGGGGGCAGGCAGAGCGCGGCAUGGAAUUGUCCUUAUUAGAGGAAGAAAUCAUCUGGAGACCACAGGGACACAUUCCAGGAGGGAGAAUUUGUUUCAACAAUGAACAAGCAAAGUGUGAAUGAAUGGAUUACAGUAGGAUACUUAUCAACUGAAACAAAAGAGAGUUGGUGUCGGAAGUGGGAUUCAAAGUAGAGCUUCUCUCAACCCU
rnacentral:lncRNA from 10 species